rnacentral:rRNA from 1 species
UCGGGAAUUUUGGGCAAUGGGCGAAAGCCUGACCCAGCAGCGCCGCGUGAAGGAUGAAGUAUUUCGGUAUGUAAACUUCGAAAGAAUAGGAAGAAUAAAUGACGGUACUAUUUAUAAGGUCCGGCUAACUACGUGCCAGCAGCCGCGGUAAUACGUAGGGACCAAGCGUUGUUCGGAUUUACUGGGCGUAAAGCGCGUGUAGGCGGGUCGUUAAGUUGGGGGUGAAAUCCCGAGGCUCAACCUCGGAACUGCCUUCAAAACUGGCGACCUGGACCUAAGUAGAGGCAAGUGGAAUUGCGAGUGUAGAGGUGAAAUUCGUAGAUAUUCGCAGGAACACCAGUGGCGAAGGCGACUUGCUGGACUUAUGGUGACGCUGAGACGCGAAAGCGUGGGGAGCAAACAGGAUUAGAUACCCACGUAGUCCCUGAGCGGGCUGGCAAGGCGCAU